GGGGCAGCAUUCUUAGCUUGCUAAGGCGAUGGCGACCGGCGCACGGGUGAGUAACACGUAUCCACCUGCCGUCUACUCUUGGACAGCCUUCUGAAAGGAAGAUUAAUACAAGAUGGCUCCGCAUGUUUAAAGGUAUUCGGUAGACGAUGGGGAUGCGUUCCAUUAGAUAGUAGGCGGGGUAACGGCCCACCUAGUCUUCGAUGGAUAGGGGUUCUGAGAGGAAGGUCCCCCACAUUGGAACUGAGACACGGUCCAAACUCUACGGGAGGCAGCAGUGAGGAAUAUUGGUCAAUGGGCGAGAGCCUGAACCAGCCAAGUAGCGUGAAGGAUGACUGCCUAUGGGUUGUAAACUUCUUUUAUAAAGGAAUAAGUCGGGUAUGCAUACCCGUUUGCAUGUACUUUAUGAAUAAGGAUCGGCUAACUCCGUGCCAGCAGCCGCGGUAAUACGGAGGAUCCGAGCGUUAUCCGGAUUUAUUGGGUUUAAAGGGAGCGUAGAUGGAUGUUUAAGUCAGUUGUGAAAGUUUGCGGCUCAACCGUAAAAUUGCAGUUGAUACUGGAUAUCUUGAGUGCAGU
rnacentral:rRNA from 1 species